rnacentral:misc_RNA from 1 species
AUGUAGGUCAAGUAUGAGCCAGACCGGCUAAAUGGAGAGAAUAUAGGCUAUAUACCAUACAAGUGAUUUUGGAUGGAUGCACAGAUGCAGAGAUGGACUAAUGGACAGAAUAAUAACUUAUAAUAAUGUGCCUGUUGAUUGGGCCCUAAUGAUACCAUGGUACUUUCUCGUACAUGGAUUUAAGCUUAACAAGCAAUUUGACAAAAUAGUUGAAAUACUUACAGUGGGUACACAAUUUCCUGUGUACAGUACAGUUUCUGGGCGUAAUUUGGCUGGGGGUUGAGCAACAUGGAGUACCAGUCUGAGAGCUUUGUGACCGGGCAGGACCGAACUCUGAGGGAGCCAUACGGCUCGACCAGUAAUAGGGUCAAUAUGGCAGCUACCACACUCUCCAGAAGGGCCGAUACAUGAAGGGGUAUCAGGGACCUGCCACAACGAAAGGAAAACAUGUUUAAUGUUAAAAUGUGUACUUAAAAGUAGACUGAAAAAAAAAACACAAUGGAAAUCUUGAAGAAAUUGAUAGUGAACUUUUAAGCUAUGUAGCAUGUAUUUGUCCUUCAUAAAAACAAUUUUCUACUUCAAAGCAUCUGUUAAUGACACGUGGAUGUAAAAACAAUGAGAACUCACUUUGCUGUUUUAUUUCUGUUGGUAUAAUCAAUGAAAAACCAGUGAAGAAUGAGGGAUAAAAGAGCCAUGAAGGCCAAGUACAUCCAAUCAUAAAACGUGGGCUCCGAAUCACAAGCCAGACAUAUACUUUGUUCAUUUGGCUGGUAUCCUCUAGGACAUGCCUAAAAGUCAAGCAAAAGGAUGGUUCUUUUAUGAAAAACAAAAUACUGCUCUCAGAUAUCCAUGUUAGUAAGUUUCAAGACCCAAAGAGGCCUGAAGACUUAGCCAAAUUUUGCCAACAUCAUCUUCCGAAAAUAGCACCAGAGCUUUUUAUUGUGACAGGAGAUUUGACUGAUGCUAAAUAUAAAAAUGAGAGAGGCUCAACACAAUUUAUUGAAGAAUGGAAACGUUAUGAAGAAGUAAUCACCUUAUGUCAAAAGUAUAACAAUAAUGUGAAGUGGCUGGAUGUAAGAGGAAAUCAUGAUGCAUUCAAUGUACCAGAUUUGGAUCACAAAAAAAAUCUUUUUAGAACAUACUCUGGACAAGGGGAGACAAAUCCUUCCUCAUAUAAAUACACACACAAGCUGAAGUUUGGGGAGUACAGUUUCAUUGCCAUGGAUGCCACACCAAACCCUGGACCGAGGCGACCAUUUAACUUUAUUGGAAUUCUCAGAGAGAAACAAAUAAAUUUACUGAAUAAGAUGUCCCUGGAAAGUAGUUCAAGCAACAUGACCUUUUGGUUUGGACAUUAUCCAACUUCUCUCAUCAUCACUGAAGAUGGAUCCAACAUCCGCCAACUAAUGAGAAAUGCAAGUGCAUACUUCUGCGGACAUCUCCAUCUAUCAGGCUUGCAUACCAGGCACAAAACAGGGACCUAUGAACUGGAGCUGGGAGACUGGAAACACAACAGGAUGUAGGUACAGAAUUGUAGCAGUGGAUAGCAAUGUAAUGGCCUUCUCAGACCAAGCUUUCCAUGAAGAGCCAGUCAUCAUUUUUACUAAUCCCCAGCAUGCAAGAUUUCCAGCACCACAGAAAGUAACCUCUACUCAUAUCAGGCUGUUGAUAUUUCCACCCUCACAUGCCUUAACAGUUGACCUUUACAUUGAUAAAGUUAAGAUUGGGGAGGCUCAGAAUGUUAAAGGGCCCUUGUAUGUGUUACCUUGGAAACCUGAGCAAUUCAAAAGUGGUCUACAUCAUAUCACGGCUGUGGUCAAGGAAAAUGGGUUCACCAUCAAAGAGAAAUCUCAGUUAUUCUCCCUGGAUGGAACCACUGAACCAUUUCCAAUACUGGCACGUAUUGUGCUCAUGGUGGACUUACUUUUUAUUGGAAAGCUCUUGUUCUAUUUUCUCGCUGUUGUGUAUGUUCUAGUGCUGUGCCUCUUGAGGAAAUGUGCUGACAUUAGAUCCUUAAAGCUACAAGGUGAUGCACUACCUGGAAGGUUCAUAAAGAACUUUAUAAACCGAUGGAUCAGGAGAGUGUGGCUUGUAUCUAAGGCGACCAAAAUCUUCCUAAUUUUAACCUGCUUUACAACAUAUAUCAUGAUAGGCCCUUGGUUUAUGGCGGAGGUGAUCGAUGGCCACACAGGCUUGAUGUUUGUGUGGGGACUUUAUGUUAAAGGAGCGCUACUGCCAGGAUCCCUUACUUAUGUUUAUGGAAUAUUUCAAAUGGUGAGCUACAACAUUCCUUUGCUGUUCCACUUGGGCUACAUCUUGGAUUACCCACAAUCCUUCAGUGAAUCCAACCAACUCCGUCUUUCACACAGAAUAAGACAUCUGUAUAUUCCAAUGAUAGUACUACUGAUAUUUCAGUGUUAUGUGACUCUGAUAGAAUUCCCCCAGGCCUAUGGGACGAAAGCAAUGAUUCUGGGUCCAGUUCGGUCAGGGUCCAUAUUUAUUGGAAUGUAUUGUUAUUAUGCCGCCUUUACUCAUCAUUAUAAAAGUACUGUUCAUACAAGUUGAUUAACUGUGUUAAUUGUAAAUCUUACAACCCAGUGUAUUGUUUAUUUAUUGUAUAAGUUAUUUGGACUUCUUUUUAUCAUGCAUAAAUUUACAUGUAUACAACAGUGAUUUCAUUUUUAAAUUGUUUUAUGAUGUCUGUUAAAAGUAAUGGCCAACAUC